rnacentral:rRNA from 1 species
GAGGAAAGCUGGCGGCAUGCUUAACACAUGCAAGUCGAACGGGAAGUGGUGUUUCCAGUGGCGAACGGGUGAGUAACGCGUAAGAACCUGCCCUUGGGAGGGGAACAACAACUGGAAACGGUUGCUAAUACCCCGUAGGCUGAGGAGCAAAAGGAGAAAUCCGCCCAAGGAGGGGCUCGCGUCUGAUUAGCUAGUUGGUGAGGUAAUAGCUUACCAAGGCGAUGAUCAGUAGCUGGUCCGAGAGGAUGAUCAGCCACACUGGGACUGAGACACGGCCCAGACUCCUACGGGAGGCAGCAGUGGGGAAUUUUCCGCAAUGGGCGAAAGCCUGACGGAGCAAUGCCGCGUGGAGGUGGAAGGCCUACGGGUCGUCAACUUCUUUUCUCGGAGAAGAAACAAUGACGGUAUCUGAGGAAUAAGCAGCGGCUAACUCUGUG